GGCCAUAUCGCGUUGAAAUACCGGUUGCCGUACGACCCCUGAAGUUAAGCAACGUCGAGCCUACUCAGUACCUAGAUAGGUGACCAGCUUGGGAAUACCAGACGCUGGA